ACGCUGGCGGCAGGCCUAAACAUGCAAGUUGAACGCCAUAGCAAUAUGGAGUAGCGCACGGGUGAGUAAUGCAUGGGAACGUGACCUUGAGUGGGGGAUAUUCCUUGGAAACGAGGAGCAAUACCGCAUAAGCCCUGAGGGGGAAAGAUUUAUCGCUCCAUGAUGGACUCGCGUCUGAUUAGCUAGUUGGUGAGGUAACGGCUCACCAAGGCGACGAUCAGUAGCCGGACUGAGAGGUUGAACGGCCACAUUGGGACUGAGACACGGCCCAGACUCCUACGGGAGGCAGCAGUGGGGAAUAUUGCGCAAUGGGGGAACCCUGACGCAGCAACGCCGCGUGAAGGAUGAAGGUCUUCGGAUUGUAAACUUUUGUCUUUGGUGAAGAUAAUGACGGUAGCCAAGGAGGAAGCCACGGCUAACUACGUG
rnacentral:rRNA from 1 species